rnacentral:sRNA from 1 species
UCUCUUUGUAGGGUGUCCUAAUUUCCA